AUACGGAGGAUGCGAGCGUUAUCCGGAUUUAUUGGGUUUAAAGGGUGCGUAGGCGGACGAUUAAGUCAGCUGUGAAAUGCCCGCGCUUAACGCGGGAAGUGCAGUUGAUACUGGUUGUCUGGAGUGCCGUUGCCGUGGGGGGAAUGUGUAGUGUAGCGGUGAAAUGCAUAGAUAUUACACAGAACGCCGAUUGUGAAGACACCUCACGAAGCGGUAACUGACGCUGAGGCACGAAAGCGUGGGGAUCGAACAGGAUUAGAUACCCUGGUAGUCCACGCAGUAAACGAUGAAUGCUAGGUGUAGGGGAGUCAUCUUCUGUGCCGCAGCUAACGCAAUAAGCAUUCCACCUGGGGAGUACGGCCGCAAGGUUGAAACUCAAAUGAAUUGGCGGGG
rnacentral:rRNA from 1 species